rnacentral:tRNA from 1 species
UGGGGUAUAGCUCCAUGGUAGAGCACUUGCCUAGCAUGUGUGAAGCCCUGGGUUUGAUCUCCAGUACCACUG